rnacentral:rRNA from 1 species
GACGAACGCUGGCGGCGUGCUUAACACAUGCAAGUCGAACGGAAAGGCCUGCUUUCCCUUGUGGAUUGCGGGUACUCGGGUGGCUAACGGGUGAGUAACACGUGAGUGAUCUGCCCCCAACUUGGGUAUAAGCCUGGGAAACUGGGUCUAAUUCCCGAUCGGACUGCAGGGUGGUGCCUGUGGUGGAAAACGCUUGUGUGGUGGUUGGGGAUGAGCUCGCGGCGUGUCAGCUUGUUGGUGAGGUAAUGGCUUACCAAGGCGGAGCGGGGUAGCCGGCCUGAGAGGGUGACCGGCCACACGGGGACUGAGACCCGGCGCGGACUCCUACGGGAGGCAGCGGUGGGGAAUAUUGCACAAUGGGCGCAAGCCUGAUGCAGCAACGCCGCGUGAGGGAUGACGGCCUUCGGGUUGUAAACCUCUUUUAGUAGGGAAGAAGCGAAAGUGACGGUACCUGCAGAAAAAGCACCGGCUAACUACGUG